CGAAUUGAGGCGACCCUAUCCUCCUCCCAAGGGUUGUCUUGUGAACAAUGGCACUCCUCCUCCCAGCCGUUGUUCGAGUUUUUGAAAAGCCUGCCGCACCUCCUCCCGCGGCGGGCUUUUUCG
rfam:Agrobacterium tumefaciens F2 l1, whole genome shotgun sequence.